rnacentral:tRNA from 1 species
CCCCCGGUAGCUCAAUUGGUAGUAGCGCCUGUUUGAAGCACAGGAGGCAGUCAGUUCGAUUCUGACCUGGGGGA